rnacentral:lncRNA from 1 species
CUUAUCCAUAUAAAGGCGUCUUAGGCCAAAAAUCGAUGGGACUUAAACCCAGGGACUGUAACCCGAUGUCUUCCCCUCUUAAUGGAAUGAGACUUAAAUCCAUCAUCACACCUUUGAUCAAUAACAUAUUAAGCCAAAAUAUAAUAAAUUCAUACUAUAGCCUAUAACAAUAUCACCACUUUCUGAUUAUCAAUAUUCUUUUCAAACGUAAUUAAAAAACAUGAGUUAAUAAUAUAUUUAUCUUAUCAUAAAUAGUAGAAAAGUGAAAUUCAAGUCGUGAUGAUCUCAUAGUUCUUGUGGUCUUGCCUUCCACCUUUCGAUCCAAUUUUCAUUUCUUAGCCUUUGAAUUUUGAGUAUGGUAGAGUCUCGUGCUGAUAACAUAUUAUAAAAUAAGAUAAAAUAUCAAUAUCAAACUUAAAGAAAG